GGCGCAUUGGUGUAGUUGGUUAACACGCUGCCCUCUCAAGGCAGAGAUCACGGGUUCGAGUCCCGUAUGCGCUGCCA
rnacentral:tRNA from 2 species